UGUAUUGUUUGUUUGGAUGUUACUCAUCUUCCUCUUGACAAAACCCCAUAGAUUCUCUAUGGGAUUCAGGUCAGGCGAGUUGGCUGACCAAUCAAGAACAGUAAUAUCAUGGUCAGCAAACCAACUUUUGGUGUUU